rnacentral:snRNA from 1 species
UUUGGUAAUCAUAUUAAAUUAU